rnacentral:tRNA from 1 species
GAGGGGAUAGCUCCAGUGGUAGAGCGCAUGCUUAGCAUGCAGGAGGUCCUGGGUUCAAUCCCCAGUCCCUCCA